GGUUCCAUAGUGUAGUGGUGAAUACUCUGGUCUCUCACCCCAGUGACCUGAGUUCAAGUCUCAGUGGAACCU